UGCAGUUUAAGGCCCAAGUAUGUUGUUUCUGGGAAGAAAAUGAAGUUGCCCAGCUCUGUUAUAAGUCUUUGGAAUGACAUGGAUUGGAAGCUUGGAUUCUCUGCAUCUGGUAGCAAAGUAAAGAGCUGUGAACCAUGGACAGGUCCAUCAUGCAUGAGGAGGUUGGGCCUGAAGUCCGAGGGUCAGAUCAGACUGCCUGGCCAUUCACCCACAGAGUAGGCUGCAACAGAUUCCUGGACCCAACGAUGCCCCUGCUUCUAGAAGAUAAAGACAAUCGGCUCCAUCAUGGGACUCUGAAAGGGUUAAACGAGACAACAAGCUUAUGGCACUGAUACAGAGAAAGAGCAUCUCUCUGUUCCCUCCUCCUAACCCAGGCUGAGCCCCUUGCACCUGAGCCUAACGAAGACUGGUGGCUUACCUGUCAAUCAACUAGAUCUGCAGCAGCUCCAGCCCUCAUUUCGAAGCCUUUGAACAGAAAACCUGAGUUGAGAGACUGUUUGAAUUGGCUCAUGCAAGAAACAAUAUUUGCUCGAGGUUGGCUCCUGUGUUAUGAAUUUUUAACCUCACAUAAAUCAAAACUGCAAAAAUGGACAAAGGACAAAUUUCCUGUGCCAGGACUAAAAUAGCAGCCGCCUGCAUCUCUCAAACAAUUCCAAUUAUGUUUCCAUAACCAAAUCACGCUGAGAUGAAUGGCUGGAUUAUUUUUAUUUAGGUCCUGAAGUAUAAUGUAAAAUGAAUGAAAGCAGCCUGUCUUCUCACUGCUAAGGUGAUGUGGCUUUUCCAUCUACAAAGGCAACUCAGAGACCAGGCUGAGCAAAGGGCACAGUGUGCCUGGGAGGCUCUGCCUUCUGCUCUCAUUGUUUUUCUUCAGAGAUAGUCUGCUAAGGUUCCUGAUACUAAAUGGCUGAUAGAAAUCCCUCAGGAAGGCUGAAACAGGGCUGCAGAGAUGGCACAGCAGGUGGCGCUGUUUGGGAAGGUUGUGGAACUGUUAGGAGGUAGAGCCCUGCUGGAAGAAGUGGAUCAAGUCAGUAGGAGCAGAUCUUGAGGCUUUAUAGCCCAUGCUCACUUCCUGUUUACUGUCUGCUUCCUGGUGGCAGUCAUCAUGACCUGCUGGCCUCUUGCUGCCAUGUCUUCUCCAUCAUGGUGGAAUAAGAUGCUGUAAACACCAGGAUUGUAUCCAGACCCA
rnacentral:lncRNA from 1 species